rnacentral:rRNA from 1 species
UAAGACGUAGGGUCCAAGCGUUGUCCGGAUUUACUGGGCGUAAAGAGCGCGUAGGCGGCUCGGUAAGUGUGAAGUGAAAUCUCUAGGGCUCAACCCAGAAACUGCUUUACAUACUGCCAAGCUGGAGUGAUGAAGAGGUUUGUGGAAUUCCUGGUGUAGCGGUGAAAUGCGUUGAUAUCAGGAGGAACACCCAUGGCGAAGGCAGCAAACUGGUCAUCAACUGACGCUGAGGCGCGAAAGCGUGGGUAGCAAACAGGAUUAGAUACCCUGGUAGUCCACGCCCUAAACGAUGGAUACUAGGCGUAAGAGGUAUCGACCCCUCUUGUGCCGCAGCUAACGCAUUAAGUAUCCCGCCUGGGGAGUACGGCCGCAAGGUUG